GGGGCCAUAGCUCAGCUGGGAGAGCGCCUGCGUGGCACGCAGGAGGUCGGCGGUUCGAUCCCGCCUGGCUCCACCA
rnacentral:tRNA from 1 species